AACGCAAUCGCUUAUCGGGCAGUUAUUUUUUUUAUCUACAAGGUAGAACAACUAAUAUGAAAUGAAUUAUCUUGGUAUGGCAAGUUCCUGUUUGCGAUUAAAAAAAAAACAUUUUCUUUUAUACUGGAAAAAAGGGAUAUUUUAAAUGUAGAUAAUAAUUUAGGAGACUGCAAUAUGCCUUCGUGUUUUUCAAGUGUUAACAACAAAACAUAUCCUGGCAAUGAGAGUGAAACAAGUAAUGGACGACUUAGAUCAACAUCAAACGCAAACGAUGGGACGGAAAAUGCUGUUCCUACAACUAA